ACGGGGCGCAGCAGGCGCGAAAACUUUACAAUGCGGGAAACCGCGAUAAGGGGACACUGAGUGCCAGCAUAUUAUGUUGGCUGUCCACAUGUAUAAAAACCAUGUGUUAGCAAGGGCCGGGCAAGACCGGUGCCAGCCGCCGCGGUAACACCGGCGGCCCGAGUGGUGAUCACUUUUAUUGGGUCUAAAGGGUCCGUAGCCGGUUUGAUCAGUCUUCUGGGAAAUCUGACAGCUCAACUGUUAGGCUUUCAGGGGAUACUGUUAGACUUGGGACCGGGAGAGGUAAGAGGUACUACAGGGGUAGGAGUGAAAUCUUGUAAUCCCUGUGGGACCACCAGUGGCGAAGGCGUCUUACCAGAACGGGUCCGACGGUGAGGGACGAAAGCUGGGGGCACGAACCGGAUUAGAUACCCGGGUAGUCCCAGCCGUAAACGAUGCUCGCUAGGUGUCAGGGACGGUGCGACCGUUUCUGGUGCCGUAGGAAGCCGUGAAGCGAGCCACCUGGAAGUACGACCGCAAGGC
rnacentral:rRNA from 1 species